GGGUAGGGUUGAAACUGUCAGUUUGGGAGUUGGUGAAUGUUUCCCCUCUUGGUAGAGAAGGCAUCAUUCUGAAAUUGUUGAAAAAUGAGUUUAUGAGGAAAACAUUUUUCCAAACAUAUAAACCACCCAAUCAUGGAAAAAUUGGAAACAUGUUUCCUCCAUACCAAACACACCCUCAGCACCAUUAAUUAUAAAGGAAUUGGUAAAGAGGCUUAGCUAUCAAUUAGAUGACUUGUGAUUCAAAAUUAUAAUGAUAAUGAAAUGACUGCUUUAUUGUUUUGAUAAACUCUUCGUAAGCAGAUACUAUUACAGGAUUUUGGGCCAGGAAUUAAUACUCUCAUCAAGAAGAAAAGACUAUGAACUGCCACCACUGUUUUGAAUGUGAAAUUUC
rnacentral:misc_RNA from 1 species